CUCAUCCUUCAGCUUGAAGGCUUCCUCUACUCGGGCAUAUCCUUUGGCCCGAGCCAGCAAAUCAGCGAAGUCCCUGGGAUACUUUUUUUUCAAGAAAAAUAGAAGAUCAUUCUUUUGAAGACCGCUCUUCAAGGCGGCCAUUGUAAUUGAUUGGUCCAAGUUCCGAACCUCCAAUGCAGUGACGUUAAAAUGGUUGACAUAAGUUCGGAUGGAUUCUCCCUCCUUUUGCUUGAUGUUAAUGAGG
rnacentral:lncRNA from 1 species